CCCAGUGUUUCACCACUGGUAUUUUAGGAAGGAAGGCAUGCGUGUAUGGUGUAUCCAUACAGGUAUGAAGCCCUUUCGACAAUGUACCGAAGACUUUAAAACAGUCGGGGUGGAAAUCGUGAGAUAGACACCCUCCCGAUAGUCUGAUUCGGGUGAGGGC
rnacentral:ncRNA from 1 species